GACGAACGCUGGCGGCGUGCUUAACACAUGCAAGUCGAACGGAAAGGCCCAGCUUGCCGGGUGCUCGAGUGGCGAACGGGUGAGUAACACGUGGGUGAUCUGCCUCUAACUUCGGGAUAAGCUUGGGAAACUGGGUCUAAUACCGGAUAGGACAAUCGUUUAGUGUCGGUUGUGGAAAGUUUUUUCGGUUAGGGAUGAGCCCGCGGCCUAUCAGCUUGUUGGUGGGGGAAUGGCCUACCAAGGCGUCGACGGGUAGCCGGCCUGAGAGGGUGGACGGCCACAUUGGGACUGGGAUACAGCCCAGACUCCUACGGGAGGCAGCAGUGGGGAAUAUUGCACAAUGGGCGCAAGCCUGAUGCAGUGACGCCGCGUGGGGGAUGACGGCCUUCGGGUUGUAAACCUCUUUCGACAGGGACGAAGCUUUGGUGACGGUACCUGUAUAAGAAGCACCGGCUAACUACGUGCCAGCAGCCGCAGUAA
rnacentral:rRNA from 1 species